rnacentral:rRNA from 1 species
AACGAACGCUGGCGGCAUGCCUAACACAUGCAAGUCGAACGAGACCUUCGGGCCUAGUGGCGCACGGGUGCGUAACGCGUGGGAACCUGCCCUUAGGUUCGGAAUAACUCCCCGAAAGGGGUCUUAAUACCGGAUAAUCUCUUCGGACCAAAGAGUUAUGGCCUUUGGAUGGGCCCGCGUUGGAUUAGCUAGUUGGUAGGGUAAAAGCCUACCAAGGCGACGAUCCAUAGCUGGUCUGAGAGGAGGAUCAGCCACACUGGGACUGAGACACGGCCCAGACUCCUACGGGAGGCAGCAGUGGGGAAUAUUGGACACGGGGCGCAAGCCUGAUCCAGCAAUGCCGCGUGAGUGAUGAAGGGCUUAGGGUUGUAAAGCUCUUUUACCCGGGAUGAUAAUGACAGUACCGGGAGAAUAAGCUCCGGCUAACUCCGUG